rnacentral:rRNA from 1 species
UGCAGUCGAGCGAUGAAGCACCUUCGGGUGUGAAUUAGCGGCGAACGGGUGAGGAACACGUGAAGAAUCUGCCUUCAACUCUGGGAUAACUCCGGGAAACCGGGGCUAAUACCGGAUAUGAGCCUUGAUCGCAUGAUCGGGGCUGGAAAGUUUUUCGGUUGAAGAUGACUUCGCGGCCUAUCAGCUUGUUGGUGAGGUAAUGGCUCACCAAGGCGACGACGGGUAGCCGGCCUGAGAGGGCGACCGGCCACACUGGGACUGAGACACGGCCCAGACUCCUACGGGAGGCAGCAGUGGGGAAUAUUGGGCAAUGGAGGAAACUCUGACCCAGCGACGCCGCGUGAGGGAUGAAGGCCUUCGGGUUGUAAACCUCUUUCAGUAGGGAAGAAGCGAAAGUGACGGUACCUACAGAAGAAGCACCGGCUAACUAUGUGCCAGCAGCCGCGGUAAUACAUAGGGUGCAAGCGUUGUCCGGAAUUAUUGGGCGUAAAGAGCUCGUAGGUGGUUCGAUACGUCGGAUGUGAAAAUCAGGGGCUCAACCCCUGACCUGCAUCCGAUACGGUCGAGCUAGAGUUUGGUAGGGGAGACUGGAAUUCCUGGUGUAGCGGUGGAAUGCGCAGAUAUCAGGAGGAACACCGAUGGCGAAGGCAGGUCUCUGGGCCAAUACUGACACUGAGGAGCGAAAGCGUGGGGAGCGAACAGGAUUAGAUACCCUGGUAGUCCACGCCGUAAACGGUGGGCGCUAGUUGUGCGAACCUUCCACGGUUUGUGCG